AGCGAACGCUGGCGGAAUGCUUUACACGUGCAAGUCGAACGGCAGCACGGACUUCGGUCUGGUGGCGAGUGGCGAACGGGUGAGUAAUAUAUCGGAACGUGCCCAGUCGUGGGGGAUAACGUAGUGAAAAUUACGCUAAUACCGCAUACGAUCUACGGAUGAAAGCGGGGGAUCGCAAGACCUCGCGCGAUUGGAGCGGCCGAUAUCAGAUUAGGUAGUUGGUGGGGUAAAGGCUCACCAAGCCAACGAUCUGUAGCUGGUCUGAGAGGACGGCCAGCCACACUGGGACUGAGACACGGCCCAGACUCCUACGGGAGGCAGCAGUGGGGAAUUUUGGACAAUGGACGCAAGUCUGAUCCAGCCAUUCCGCGUGCAGGACGAAGGCCUUCGGGUUGUAAACUGCUUUUGUACAGAACGAAAAGGUUUCUAUUAAUACUAGGAGCUCAUGACGGUACUGUAAGAAUAAGCACCGGCUAACUACGUGCCAGCCGCCGCGGUAAUAC
rnacentral:rRNA from 1 species